rnacentral:rRNA from 1 species
UACGUAGGGGCCUAGCGUUGUCCGGAUUUAUUGGGCGUAAAGAGCGUGUAGGCGGCCAGAUAGGUCUGCUGUGAAAACUCGAGGCUCAACCUCGAGAUGUCGGCGGAAACCAUUUGGCUAGAGUCCGGAAGAGGAAAGUGGAAUUCCUGGUGUAGCGGUGAAAUGCGCAGAUAUCAGGAAGAACACCCGUGGCGAAGGCGGCUUUCUGGGACGGUACUGACGCUGAGACGCGAAAGCGUGGGGAGCGAACAGG